GGAACAGCUAUAUGGUAGUACGUACUUUGUGCAUUUCUCAUGUUGGAAUGCUUUUGGACAUGUAAGAUUAUCUAGGAGCUUAGCUAGUUGCUUGUUUUUAGUUUAUUAUUCAGCUGUAAUAUUGUUUGUGGAAGCUUGAAUGAUAUAUAUGGAAGCUGAAAUGCAAUGUUUUAUGGUAUCAGUCAAUUUGUGCAACAGUUUCUUUUGUGAUGCUUGUGUGUGUAAAACUUGGACAACAAAGUCUGUCCACAUGAAAAUGCAACUGUUGUAUGAUUCUCAUCAAACAAGAAAGCAGAAUGCUAUAUCUAUUAUGUGAUACAACAGUCCAAAUAUAUCAGUUGUAGGUUAUUCAACGUCACACAACAGUAAAGAUAGGGAAUAAACCGUUGUAGCUUACUGAAAAAUACACAACGAUAGAAAUGAAAACCAACAGUUGUCUGAAAAGGUAAAAAUACAACGAAAAUGUUUUAUUGUUUGUUGUCUAAGUGGACUUGUCGAUGCCGCGCAUGGCAUCGAUCUGCGCAGCGACUUAUACAACGAAAGUAUUGAACUGUUGAGAAAAAUGUGAUCACACAACGGUGAUUUCCACACUUAUCUGAAGAUUCAAUCAGACAAGCCCGAGAUAUACAACGGAAAACCUAUAGUCACACAACGGUGUUCCAACAGAAGUAUGAGCAUUACGAUAGAGGGCAAGACAAGGGCAAACAACAUGACACCUCCCGGGAUAACAACCAGGGAUGUGGUUCAGACCGUCGCCAUAGUGGGCAGCGGGGACGGGACCAUCCUUAUCGGUCCCAAGAGCAGAGCCCCCAGCAGCAACAACGUCGCUCCUCCCCGUCACCCCGUUAUGAGGUCCACACUACCCUGACCACUACAUAUGAAGAUAUAUGGGCCAAGCAUAAAGACCUCAUGACACGACCCACCCCAAAUUUCAUCCUGAAACCCAGAGUAAGUCGUGCGGGGACCACCUCCAAGGAAAAUUUACCGAAAAAUCGGCUUAACCUCCCUUGAAAAUGGACUACCCUUCCUAAUAAUACCUGCAAACACUUUUGAAAAUUUAAAUCCAACCUUAAACUCCUGGAGCCUCCGUGCUCCCCAAAUCACAACACCACCCAAAUUAUUUACUAAUCUAAACAAAUCUCAUAUCCAACCAUUUAUAGGUUUAGAGCAACUCUAACAGGAAGAAAGGAAACAUAAUAAAUUAACAAACGGAAGCUAUAUGAUGACUAUGCCUCAUCCCCAUGUACGCCCGACCUCAACUAUGCAAUCCUGCAAACUGGGCAUUUUUAAAACGAAGAGCCCAAGGGAAAACAUUUGAAACAAGUUAGAGUGAGUGGACAAAAAUAAAUUAACGAAUAAAAUAUUUAUGUUUCCCUAAAUCAAUUUCCAAGGAAAAUCGAAUGCAUGCUGCAAGCGAUAAAACUUUUAUCUCAUAAAUGUCGAGCCUCUCAGGCUUUAUAAUAUAUGUAUGUAUUUACACACGUCCAUACUCCCUAUAUAAAUUCAUGGGUCUAUAUAGGGCUACUACGCUCGCGUCCAACGCUCACGUCACGUCUUAAUGCGGUGCUACACUACGCCAUUAAGGUGGACAGACGGGUGUAUAAAUAUGUGCCCAUACCCCCUAUAUGAAUUAAACACUCAUAUAGGGCUACUACACUCACGUCCAACGCUCACGUCACACCAUAAUGCGGCUAUAUGCUACGCCAUUAAGGUGGACAGACACAUAUGGCUAGCUAGCAUUUAUAUACAUACUCUCUCAUAAAUACAUAUUUAUAUCCACCGAAAAUCCCAUUUGCUCCUCGGCGGACGGCGGCGGGAGGACGGCCGGAAAAUUGGGCAGCGGGAGGAGCUCGGGGAGAGAGAAAACCGGGAAGAAAAAAAAAAAAGAGAAGGGAGAAAAUGGCUUUGGGCCUCCUCCCCCCAAACCGGUCCAACUUAAUACCCAUUUGAAAACAAACCCAACUCCAAAAAUAAAACACCCCGAAAAUAAUACCCGAAUAAAAAUUACCUUUUACUAGCUAAAAUUUACUAUUUUUACCGUUGUCAUAUUUUCUCCCACGAAUAAUUCCCCGAAAUUAAUCGUCUCUCAAAACACCUCUAGGGACCGAUUAAACUAUUACCUCAAUGAAGGAGACAGUAAAAUUCUUAUUAUAACCAAGCUAGUAAAUAAGGUAAAAAUUUAAGGGUCGGGAUGUGACAAUUCUCCCCUCCUUAUAAAAAUUUCGUCCUCGAAAUUUACAUACCUGACAAUCAAAAAGAUAGGGAUACUGCUGCCUCAUUUGCUCCUCUGAUUCCCAAGUAGCUUCCCCUACUUGAUGACUCCUCCACAGAACUUUAACAAGAGGAAAAAGAUUUGCAUCUAGCACUUGCUCCUUUAGGUCGAGAAUCUGAACCGGCUCCUCAUCAUAGGCCAAAACUUUUUUCCCAAUUAAUCGACUGCUCUCGCAACACAUGAGAGAGAUCGGCAAUAAACUUGCGAAGCAUGGAUACAUGAAACACAUUAUGUAUCCUGGAUAACUCUAGAGGCAAAACUAACUGAAACACAAGAGAGCCAACUUGAUCUAAAAACCCAUAAGGACCAAUAAAUCUCGGACCAAGCUUUUCACGUUACCAAAACGUACCACCCCUUUCCAAGGGGAUAAUUUCGAAAAACACUCAAACACUCACUUGAAACUCAUGGUCCUUCCUGCGGACAUCUUUAUAACUCUUCUGGCUACUAAGAGCUGCUUUGAGUCUAUCUCUGACUCUUUUAACCUUUUCAUUUCUCAAAGACUCUAAAUCCUUCGUUGAACUAUCACUAACGUUUGCACGUAAGUGAGUUCAGUGAUACCUGCUCCAGAGUACGAGUACCUGUAGGUAUGCACACUCUUUCCUGAGCAAUGGAAAUAGCUAACCCAAAUAAAACGCAUAAAUUUGCUAUCACCAUCGGGCUCAAAUCUCCUAACAUCACGCAACAACCUCGUCAUUACGUUGCUCACAGCUCGACAAUGAAGCCCACUUGCUAGGAAACUAAAAUUCACACAUUCCCACAUGCUCAUAGGGGUCAAAAUUAAGACCCGAUAAUUGAACAGAUUUUUAAGGAUGCACACACUACAACAAUCACUCCUAUUUCUGAGACACCUCGCAGAGUCUUUCGCGGAGCCAAAGCUCUCGCAAGUCCACAAGAUAACCUUGCUCUACCUAAAUGACCAGUCCACCAACAUAUGAUAACCUCGAUUGCCUAAAUAACAUUAUGAAAAGAUCAAUACCACGACACUUAGAUCUCUCCACCAAAACUAUUACAUUACCAUUUUAUGCACCACAAACUAGCAACUUAUGGGAAUUUCCAACUCUCUCCUGAUUCUGCUAUCUCCACUAUUAUUUACCACAAACCAGAAGAUAAUCUGAAGCAUGACUAACAUGUGGAAACUGGAUAUUCCUCCUUGCUCGCCAUAAACAAAAAACUAAUUAAUGCCCACGAAGAUUGGCACAGUCAAUUCAUGAUGCCAAACUUGACGUUGAAAUCCACAUAAAUAGAACACCUUCCUUAAGCAUUGACAAAAAUUUACAUCUCCAGCCAUGCUACUUAUUCGGGUGCAACUACGACCCCAAGAGCAGUAAUUAAAAGCACACGGCUCACGCUAGCCGUUCCAUAAGAAUGAUUCUAAAUACCAAAACCUUUGAAUCCGACAAAUACAUUUCCUUUUUUUUUUUUUUUUUUUUUUUAAUUUUACCUUUUACCUCUAACAACAAUAAAUCUGAUAGCAGAAAACAAUCUGAAAAUCAGAUAUGCUCAAGUCUCCUCCACAUCCUAGGGCCACGACUUCCCACCAAAAAGAUUCUUCGAAAACCGAGCUUGCAAUAACAUGCGACUAACAAAAGCAAAGAAAAAUUUUUAUACAAGACCCACUACUACACCUUGUGGUUCACCAACUAACGAAAACCAUGAAUUCAAGCAAGAAUCAAAACUCAUGGCUUAACUCAGCUCAAGCUCCAAAAGAAAUAAUUUAAAGCACACGAAAAGCAAGUCCUCUAACUUCGAGCUCAAAAGCUCCACAGAUCUCCGAUAUCCGCCAGAACCCGCUUCGAAAUCACACUAGAAACCUCCACUAAUCAUCCUGACACCAACAGAUAAACGCACAACCAAAAAGCAAAGACCUCCCAAACAAAAACUUGGAUCAAUGAGUGGUCCCACCACAAAACGAUCCUGAGAAGAGACGUUGAUCAACCUAUCAAUAAAUCUACUAUUCGCCAUAAUAAUCUCUUAAUAAACCUUGACUCGAAAAUCUUCUUGAGUCAACAGGGGAAAACCUUCUCCCAUAAUGCUACAUCAUGAAAUAUACCUACAAUAGAGACCAAAAUCAUCAGAAAACUUACUAUUCAUCAACUACUAACAUCCAUCAUUUCAAAAUAUAUUACCACUACCAUCUGGAUAAAAUGCUCUAAGGAUAGAAACAUAUCCAUAAUUAGCACUGCAGAAACCAGAACAUAUACCGCCAUAACCAAAAUUAUCCCAACAUGUUCCCAAUUGAUUUAUGUUGCGGAUAAAAUUGUCGGCAAAAUAGCCUUCAAUCAAGACUUAUCUAAAUUCACAUUUAGCUCUUUAUGCAGCAAUACCUUACCACCCAAUCACUAGCCACAAAUUUCCUAAAACCUUGAUUAACCCAAGACUAGGGUCCUCAACAACUCAUAUAGGUACCCCUUUGAAUUACCAUUGGAUACCUCACCUCAUCAUUUCAACUAACUUUUUCAUCAAUAGAAUACACCACUAUUUCGAACUUUCCUUUCAACUCAACUCUCUUAGAAGUCACGUAACUCAAUACCAAAAUCUCCCAUCAAUCAAUUUUUGACUCCAAUCUUGCCCACUAAAAAAAUGGACAACUCCAAGGCAUUAAUCAUCAACAUUUCACCCAACAUAUUUGCAGAAGAUGCUCACCUUAGCAUCUUAAUCUGAAACCUUAAUCUUAAUUAACCCAAUCAAUCAUUGGAUACCUGAAAGGAAUGCUAACAAGCUUUUUCGUUCCCCACUCGCAAAACAACUCCAACAAUUAAUAUCAAAGAUAUUAAAUUAAUGAACUUUGGAAUAGGUGCAAACUAUACACCUUUUCAAAACUCGAAGGAUGAACACUCAAGAGGUCAGCGUACUAAGGCAUAGUUUUAGAGAUGUAGACAUUUAUGGCACACUACUGUCCAUAAAUAAAAGAAGAACAACUACAUCACAACCCUAAUCAACACAUAGUGUCUUAAGCAUAUAAUGCUAAUAGAUCCGCCGCGGUUGGACAAUCACUCUAUAGACACUAAGUGCGACCAAGAAUAUAAGGUAGUACUAAAAAAAGAAAGGAAACGAAUAACCUAGUGCUCUGAUACCAACUGACACGACCCACCCCAAAUUUCACCCUGAAACCCAGAGUAAGUCGUGCGGGGACCACCUCCAAGGAAAAUUUACUGAAAAAUCGGCAUAACCUCCCUUGAAAAUGGACAACCCUUCCUAAUAAUACCUGCAAACACUUUUGAAAAUUUAAAUCCAACCUUAAACUCCUGGAGCCUCCGUGCUCCCCAAAUCACAACACCACCCAAAUUAUUUACUAAUCUAAACAAAUCUCAUAUCCAACCAUUUAUAGGUUCAGAGCAACUCUAACAGGAAGAAAGGAAACAUAAUAAAUUAACAAGCGGAAGCUAUAUGAUGACUAUGCCUCAUCCCCAUGUACGCCCGACCUCAACUAUGCAAUCCUGCAAACUGGGCAUUUUUAAAACGAAGAGCCCAGGGGAAAACAUUUGAAACACAUUAGAGUGAGUGGACAAAAAUAAAUUAACGAAUAAAAUAUUUAUGUUUCCCCAAAUCAAUUUCCAAGGAAAAUCGAAUGCAUGCUGCAAGCGAUAAAACUUUUAUCUCAUAAAUGUCGAGCCUCUCAGGCUUUAUAAUAUAUGUAUGUAUUUACACACGUCCAUACUCCCUAUAUAAAUUCAUGGGUCUAUAUAGGGCUACUACGCUCGCGUCCAACGCUCACGUCACGCCUUAAUGCGGUGCUACACUACGCCAUAAGGUGGACAGACGGGUGUAUAAAUAUGUGCCUAUACCCCUUAUAUGAAUUAAACACUCAUAUAGGGCUACUACGCUCGCGUCCAACGCUCACGUCACAUCAUAAUGCGGCUAUAUGCUACGCCAUUAAGGUGGACAGACACAUAGGGCUAGCUAGCUUUUAUAUACAUACUCUCUCAUAAAUACAUAUUUAUAUCCACCGAAAAUCCCAUUUUCGGUAACUCUCCAAGAGAAAUAAAAAUCGUCAAAAUUAAAAUGACGUCAAAAUGUUCCACAACAUUAAUUGUUCAUCUAUGAACUAUAGCAUGCAUUUUAUUUAAAACAAAAGUCCACUCACAACUCUAGGCAUAAGCCCGACGAAAUCCAAAUCGCCACUCCAGAGAGGUUUCCUUGAACCCUGGCACAAAUACAAAAUUAAUUUCCCAACUAAAACUCCAAUAUUUAAACAAAAUAGGCAAAAUUAACCGAGAGCCAUAACUACGCUCAUCAUUGCCUAACUUCAAUAUUCUUAAAUCGAAACGAUCCGAACUUAAAUAUCAUACUCGGCAGCCGUAAUUACAACCUCCCCAAAAAUACGACUUCGGAAAUUCAUAAACCUAUCCAAAACUCAUACAAAAAUUUCAUAACUCACUUCAACAAACUCCCCUUAAUAUUCUAAAUUUAAAACCCUAAAAAUCUUCCAAACAGUGGCGGCGGCUCCGCCGGUAGCGGCGGCCGGAGGCCGAUUCCGGCGACCUCCAAAUCCUACCAAAUUUUAACAGUAGCUUCCUCUCCACUCCCUCUACAACUUUCCUAACUAGCACAAACCCAAAAUCCAAGCCUAACUAGGUCAAACGAGCAAAAACAUCUAAAACACCCUAGAACUUCCACCUCUAAUUUCUCCUUACCUGAAGCGAACCGGAGUGAGCCCUUUUAGGGCAAGGCAGCUGGGUUGGAGACCUUCAAAACCGUACCAAGCUUGCCCGGAUUGGUGGCCGGAGGAGGGAGUUCCGGCGAAGUGAAGCUUUGGACAGUCGGACCUUUAGGGGGAGAGCACUCUUUCACGACGGAGCUAGGGAAGCUGCUACCGAUCCAGGGAGGUAGCUGGGAUGAUGGCCUACCGAACGGGACCGGUGCGGUAGNNNNNNNNNNNNNNNNNNNNAGCAGUACCCACAAACAUCUUUUAUUAGUAAGAUUUACCAGAUUCAAAAAUAAAAAAUUUGACCUUUGCUGCUGCAUUAUGAGAAAUAUGCAAGUUUUCUGUUAUGUAAUAAUCGUUGUAAGCAAAUGUUAAUAUGCUAUGCUUCUUCAGUAUAACACCAUAUAGGAGUCAGUUUCAUACACGCAAUUUAGUGUUUGGUUAGUUAGACAUUUGAUUAUGUCAAAGCUCUUUCAUAAAUUUGGUUAUCAUCAAUUGUAUUAGUUCUGCGCCCAAAUCAUAUUUACACUUUCUAUUGCUUUGCUAAUGCAAUUAUAUAUUAAUACUAAUAUUUCUUUUCUGUGCUUGAUUAAUACUUCUAUCUAAUGAUCUGAUAUGUGUUUCUCAUAUGUGAUUUGAACUUGAUUUGCUCUAAGAGCUGUGACAGUUUAUUUGAUGAUUUCAUUAGCAUAUUACAUCUAUCAGUAAUAUAUGUAUAGGUUUCUUUGGUUAUCAUUUUCAGUCAGUUCCAAGGCCUUUGUUUGAUUUCAUUAUUCUCCAGCUUUUAGAGUUAGGUCUGUGUGUUUAAACUUAAGGCAAGAACAAAACCUGCAAAUCUGAAACAUUGUUUCUGAAAUUCUGCAUCAGUUAGCUUUCAUUUGAAAACAGUACAAUUUCAUUUGGAAUUUGAAGUUGGUUUCUUCAAGAGAUUUGUAGUAGACAUCUUAAGGUUCAUUCCAAAUUUUGAAUCACUUGAAAACGAUUUGGAAGAUGAAAUUAUGAUUUUUCAAAGUUUAGGGUCUGCAUCAGGAAAUUUUGCAGAUCAGUGUUUCUGAGAUUUUGACCAGUUCCCUUUCUUUCAGAAAAUUGUAUAAAUUGGUUAGUUGUUUGAACUUGGUGUCUUCAUGAAAGUUUGACUAGAGACCUUAAUGAUCGUUUUAGAACUGGAAUCUCUUGAAAAUAAGUUUUCUAGAAUUAGUUAUGAUUUUCCAAAGUUACAGCUCAUUUGCAUUUUUUUUUUGAAAGUUACAGCUCAGUUUGAGCAUAGCUUAGCAAGUACAUGUCUUGAGGACAGUAAUGCAGUCUUAUAUAUCAGCACUUCUUUAUAUUGUAUGUAUAUGAGCAAGUACUUGUUUUGUGUGAUUUAUAUAUUUGUGUUGUUGUAUAUUUAUAUAAUGCAGGUUCUGGAAGCAAAAGAUGUUUAUAAAGAUAAAGAAAAGCAUACUUGUCUACACCCAAUAUGAUUUGGAUGUGUUAAGGAAGGAGUGGGCAAAGUUCAUCAUCAGCAAAUACCUGUAGGGUGCAUGAUCUGGUCUGUUUUGGUGAACUUGUGCUUUCUAUAUGUAUGUGGUAGUACUUUGCUUUUGAACUUGGUGUUUCUAUAUAUUCGGAACAUCUAUAUGGUAGUACGUACUUUGUGCAUUUCUCAUGUUGGAAUGUUUUUGGAUAUGUAAGACUAUCUAGGAGCUUAGCUAGUUGCUUAUUUUCAGUUUAUUAUUCAGCUGUAAUAUUGUUUGUGUCACAUCCCGACUUUUAUAUUUUUUUUACCUUAUUUACUAGCGUGUUUAUAAUAAGAAGUUUACCGUCUCCAUCAUUGAGUUAAUAGUUUAAUUGGUUCCCAGAGGGGUUUCGGGGACGAUUAUUCGUAGGAGGAAAAUAUGGCGACGGUAAAAAUGGUAAAUUUUAGCUAGUAAAAGGUAAUUUUUAUUUGGGUAUUAUUUUUUCGAGGUGUUUUAUUUUUGAGUUGGAUUGUUAUAAGAUUGGACCGGUUUGGGGUGUGAGGCCCAAAUCCAUUUUCUAUCCUCUCUUUUUUCUUCCUGGUUUCCCUCUUCCCCGAGUCUCCCGCUGCUCGGUUUUCCGGCUGUCUUUCCGCCGUCGUCCGGCCGCCGUUCGCCGCCCCUCCGGUCCCAUUCGGUUGCCCUCCGACCCAGCUACAUCCCUGGACCGGUGACAGCCACCCUAGCGCUGCCAUGAAAGAGUUCUCCCGCCUAGAACCUCGAGCAGCCCAAAGUCCUCCAUCGCCGGAACUCCCUCCUCCGGGCACAAAUCUGGGCAAGCUUGGUAUGGUUUUGUAGGUCUCCAACCCAGCUGCCUUGCCCUAAAAGGACUCACUCCGGUUUGCUUCAGGUAAGGAGAAAUUUGAGGUGGAAGCUCUAGGGCGUUUUUGAUGUUUUUGUUCGAUUGGCAUAGCUAGGCUUGGAUUUUGGGUUUGUGCUAGUUAGGAAAGUUGUAGAGCAUGAUGAGAGGAAGAUGCUGUUAAAAUUUCAUAGGAAUUGGAGGUCACCGGAAUCGGCUCCGGCCACCGCUGCCGGCGGAGCCGGCGCCGGCGCCGGAGCUGUUUGGGAGAUUUUAAUGUUUUUAGAUUUGGAAUAUUAAGGGGAGUUUAUUGAAGUGAGUUAUGGAAUUUUUGGAUGAGUUUUGGAUAGGUUUGUGAAUUUCCGAAAUUUGGUAUUUUUGGCUGUUAAUUAAUGUAGAAUCCGGCCGUAGGAUUUAAGUCGUAUUCUGUGGGAAGUUGUUUUUUCGGCUGCCGGUAUGUUCGGCGAAGUUUGAGCCGUAUUGAGUUAAGAAUGGCAAAUUUGGGCAAUGAUGAGUGUGUGGGAGGCUCACGUUUAAUUUUGCCCAUUUUGUUUAAAUAUUGGAUUUUUGGUGGGAAAUUAAUUAUAUAUUUGGAACAGGACGAGAGGAGGCCCGAGCAGAGGAAGCCUCGGAGCGUCAUCAGGCUUAGGCCUAAUUAGUGAGUGGACCUUUAUUUUAAUUGAAAAGCAUGCAAUGAAUUAUCUGUUGAUCAUGUAUUUCUUUUCCUGAAAUUUAUUUCUUUCUCGGAUAUUUGACAAUUUUCCUCCUUUGGAGAGAUCCCGAAAAUGAGAUUUUCGGUGGAUAUGUUUAUUGGAUGUUUAUGAUGAUAGUAUGUAUAUAUAAAUGCUAGCUAGCCAUACGUGUUUGAUCCGCCAUAAUGAGGUAAAUACCAUUAUGGUGUGACGUGAGUGUUAGACACAAGCGUAGUAGCCCUAUAUGAAACUUAUUUCUUAUUUGGUUUAUUUAGGNNNNNNNNNNNNNNNNNNNNAGCACUUAAUCCGGAAUGACAACUGCAUCAGUAUUGCACUCCCGUGACAGGAGCUAAUGCCAUUGAGGUUCAUGGCCAAAUCCUCACCUUGCAUGGAGGAACCCUGCGACCUCCCCCCCCCCCCCCCCCCGUCAACCUUCUGCAAAAACCCUUUAGAAAUCCAUGAAAGACAGAGAGGUGUCACCACCACCCCAUCAGCAUGGGACCAGGUCUCAUUUCAUAAGAAGGAAGAUACAAUAAGUUGCCAUCACAAUGAGCCGUUCAUAAUCAAAUGUCCAAGUGGACUACAGGUGCCACAGAGCCCUUGUGGACACAGGGCUGUAGUCAGUGUAAUGUUUGCAUAUUGCUACAGAGGACUCCAGCGUGACCGGGCUAAGUUGUACAAUAACCAUGAUCCUCUUGUCAGCUUCUCGGGCGAGAUUGUACAACCCUUAGGCUCAGACCGCUUGACAGUUUCAGUAAGAACCAAUCCCUGUCGUGCUUCCAUCACGGCACGCUUCCUCAUAGUCGAUUGCCCCUCGUCCUAUAACCUCAUUUUGGGUCGCGACAUCAUCUGGGGACUACAAUGCUUCAUUGCAAUCCACAUGCUACUCAUGAAAGUGCCUACCCCGGGAGGCAUACUCACAAUCCAGGGGGAUAGAGUCGCCAUAAAACAUUGUCACCUUAAUGCCGUUCAGCAAAGACGUGGGGCCAAUGAGAUGUUGCCACUCAGUCCCUCGGAACCCAUUGGUGAUCCCCGGGACGACCUUGAAGGGAAAGAAAAGAAGAAGCAAGUCCCGAGACCUAAGCUGGCAGAGGAAACAGAGUGGGUAUCCCUAUCACCUAGCACUCCCGAGAGGAAAGUCCGCAUUGGCACUAACCUCAAACCGGAAAUCCACCAAAAGCUCAUUACCUUCCUCCAGGAUAAACAAGCAGUCUUUGCUUGGUCCUAUGCCGACAUGCCAGACAUUUCCCCUGAUAUCAUCACACACAAGCUCAAAGACUAUCCCUCUGUCAACCAAAAAAGGCGUGCCUUUAAUCCAGAAAAGUAUCGGGCUAUCCAAGCCGAGGUCCAGCGGCUAAAAGAGAUUAAGUUCAUAUGUGAGGUUUCCUACCCAACAUGGGUCUCCAAUGUAGUCAUGGUCCCCAAGCCUAAUGGCAAGUGGCGAAUGUGUGUUGACUACACUAACCUCAACAAAGCAUGCCCCAUAGAUAGUUUCCCCUUACCACGGAUUGACCAGUUGGUUGAUUCCACAGCUGGCUACAAGAUGCUUAGCUUUUUGGACGCCUACUCGGGAUAUAACCAAAUCAAAAUGUACCCCACAGAUCAGGAACACACUACUUUUGUUACGAACAAGGGAUUAUAUUGUUACGGGGUCAUGCCCUUUGGCCUCAAGAACGCAGGAGCAACCUACCAACGAUUAGUCAAUGCCAUGUUUGAAGAAGAAAUUAGGGAAGUCAUGGAAGUAUAUGUGGACAACAUGCUGGUCAAAAGCAAGACGGAUGAUGACCACAUUGCCAAUUUAGACAAGGUUUUCACAAAGCUUCUAGCUCAUGGGAUGCGCCUCAACCCACAAAAGUGUAUUUUAGCUGUUGGCAGAGGAAAGCUUUUGGGUUUCAUGGUCAGUGAAAGAGGAAUUGAAGCUAACCUAGAAAAAAUACAGGCCAUACGUGAUAUGAUUGUCCCGGCCACCUGGAACAAGGUCCAGUGCCUCAUGGGACGCUUGGUUGCUCUGGCUCGAUUCAUCUCUCGCCUCACAUACAAGUGCAACCCAUUCUUUCAAUUGGUGAAAACCCAAUAUAAGGAAGAUGUCGCAUGGGGCCCGGAACAUGAUGAUGCCUUCAAUAACAUCAAAGCUUACCUUGCAGCAGUUCCUCUCUUAUAAAAGCCUGUCCCAAGAGAAGUAUUAUACUUAUAUUUGGCUGUUUCUGCUACAGCCAUUAGCGUUGCUCUCACACGCCAUGAGCAUGACAAUGAGCUCCCAGUAUAUUAUUGUGGCAGAGGUUUUGCAGAUCCCGAGACUCGCUACCCUGACAUUAAGAAGUUAGGUCUAGCCCUCAUCACUGCAGCGAGAAAACUCAGGCAAUAUUUCCAAGCUCACACCAUCCUAACCAACCACUCUUUGCGGCAAAUACUCCAAAAGCCUGAAACUUCAAGACACCUAGUGAAAUGGGCAAUUGAGCUGGGUGAAUUUGACAUACAUUUCAAGCCAAGAACAGCAAUAAAGGGACAGGCAGCUGCAGAUUUCAUUGCCGAGUUCAUUCCCCUAGAUCAUGACAGCCCAAAUACAAACGCCCCUCCCCCCCCCCGACGAUGCUAUCUGGGAACUCCAUGUUGACGGAUCCUCAAACAACAGGCUAAGUAGGGCAGGAAUAAUCAUCACAAACCCAGAGGGACAUUCAUACGAGUAUGCUCUCCGGUUUGAGUUCAAAGCAUCCAACAACAUAGCUGAAUACGAGGCCCUGAUAGCAGGCAUCCAGCUCUGUCGAGAACUCAAAGCCCUACAUAUUCACAUAUUCAGUGACUCUCAGCUUGUACUCAAUCAAGUGGCACGAGACUUCAAGGCCAACCAGAAUAACUUGGGAUCCUACAAAACUCUAACAGGACCUCCUGCAACACUUCACAUCUUAUAAACUCACACAAAUCCCCAAGACCAAGAACUCCAAGGCAGACGCCCUUGCGAGACUCGCCACAGCUCCUCCUGAGUCCACGCCACCAGAUGUGCACAUAGAAAUCUUGGACAAGUCUAGUAUCUCGAAAGCUUAUUCAUAAAUCUUUGCUCUUGAGACAACUAGCCAGCCCUCAUGGAUGUACCCAUAUGUUGACUUCCUCGCUAAUGGUACCCUGCCCUAGGACAAAAGAGAAGCACAGCGGUUACGCCACAAGGCUUCAUUUUACCUACUCAAAGGUGCAAGCUAUACCGUCGUGGUUAGUCAUGUCCAUUCUUGAAGUGUUUGCCCACAGAGGAAGGGCACAAAGUGUUGAAGUCACUUCAUAGCGGCAUUUGUGGAAACCAUGCGGGUGCUCGGAACCUCAUGUUCAUGGCACUCAGAGCUGGGUAUUAUUGGCCAACAUUAGAGCAAGAUACAAAGGCAGUUGUCAAAGCAUGCCUUCAAUGCCAAAAAUUUGGCAAUUUUGCUCAUCACCUACCAGUGCCACUGUCUGUCAUCAUCUCCCCAGUCCCUUUCAGUCAGUAGGGACUCGAUUUUGUGAGACGGCUACCCAUAGCCCUGGGACAACUCAAAUUUGCAAUAGUCGUUAUAGACUACAACACGAAAUGGAUAGAGGCAAAACCCCUUGCCACAAUGACAACAGAAAAGGUGAUAAACUUCCUAUGGCAUAAUCUAUACUGCCGGUUUGGGGUACCACAUGCCAUCAUCACGGAUAAUGGGACACAUUUUGAAAACGACACCUUCAGAGAAUUCUUGUUCGAACAAGGAACCACAAUCUUCUAUGCCUCCCCAGCACACCCUCAGACCAAUGGCCAGAUGGAAGCCAUAAACAAACUCAUUAAGCAAAACUUGAGGAAACGCCUGGAAGAUGCCAAAGGGUUGUGGGCCGCCAAGCUCCCGGAGGUCCUCUGGACACUUCGUACCACCCCAACAACAGCUACAGGUGAAUCUCCAUAUCUCUUGUCCUAUAGCACUGAGGCAAUGAUUCCUGUAGAAAUGGAAGUCCCAAGUGAACGUGUCAUGGCGUACAAUCCCGAGAAGAACGGCACAGGAUUGCGACUUAACAUGGACCACCUAGAGGAGCGCUGAGAUAGAGCACAUCUCAGGAAUUCCAACAAUAAGCAAAAGAUUGCUCAACACUACAACAAGAAAGUUGUUCCCGCCCCCUGAAGGUAGGUGAUUGGGUCAUGAAGGAAGUCAUUCCCCACCCCACUGGACUCAAGGCAAAGUGGGAAGGCCCACUGAAGAUAGUUAAUGCCCCGGGACUAGAUACAUUUUAUCUCCGAGAUACUGAUGGCCGCGUAUACCCCGCCCCUGGAAUGCUCGCCACCUCCACCUCUACCCCUUUUAAAUUAUUAGUCCCAAGACCCGGCACAGUAGCUAACACUUCAUCAUUUUGUGUUCUUCAGCCCGUUAGCGGCUCAAAUCAAAUGUACACUUUGCCUGUUAGCGGCCUACCCUAAAUGAAGAUGCUAUGUUUUCUCAUCAUUUUUCAACAUGCUGUAUCAAGAACACGGAACAAAAAAAAACACACAACCACAAACAAAAACAUUCAUUUAAGUAAACAAGAAAUACCACCAAGUAUCAGCUUGGACUCCUAGGCAAGUCAUAACCAACAAAUUGUUCAAAUGGCUAACCACGCCACCAAUAUUGUUUCACAAACAAACAAACAAAAAAAUUGAAACCUAACCGAACAAAUUACAAAGUGAAAAUAAUCAUUUCUCCCCAAAGGAUGCACCACCAGACUUAUUCACACUGCUACCACUCCUCGAGUUGCUCCCACACCCGCGACUUUGACUAAUGUUCACUGACACCCUCUAUCCAUAAGCAUGCUUAGAACGGUCACGUGACGUAGGUGGAGGCCUCACUGAAACAUUAGGACGCACCAAGGAGCUCACUUGUUGCGCUUCAGUGACAGGAGACUUGCUCGUUGGAGUCUUUGGCACUUCAGAACGCUGCGGCGCCACGAGUCCAGGUGCUCGAGGGUUAGUGGGUUCAAUAACAGAAGAUGCAACCUGCGACACUACCACUUGAGUGGAAAGGGACCCCUCGGGACACGGAGCCCUUAGUGGUGAAGCAGCAGCAGUCGCGAGAGGCCAAGGCGUGCCCACAGCAGGAACUUCCUUCGGGACAACAGGUGACGAAGCACGCCAAGCCUCAUGAUGUUUUUCCAACGACUGCGAGAUCUCGGCUUGCUUCUUCUGCUUUGGUGUCAUCUGCUCCUAAGUCUUCUUUACAGCAUCCCUAUUGGCAUACCACUUGCGCAUGGCCGCUUCGUUUAUCCAGCCAGCUUGGAAACCAGUCUUGCUCAACUCAUCCUGUCCCUGGUUAUAAGUGCUCCUCAGCUGCUGCUUAUACACUUCACUCUCCCGGAACACCCUUUCCCCAGCCCCGGCAGCCCUUGCACACUUCAACUUCCAAGCCUUCUCUUGCUCCACCAAGGCCUGCGUGAACCUCGUCACCUCGGCUUCCUGGGACACUACCUUGGCAAUGGCCACCUCCCCAGCUUCCACUUGCUUGUUCUUCUCCUACACAGCUUCCUUCAACUCAGCAACCUCCUUCCCGGAUGCAGCAGCCUGGUCUCGGAAGACAGCAACAUCUUGCUCCAGCUGCUCAAGACGUUACGAGAGGGCGCGGUUAUUCUCCUCCGCCUCCUUCAACUACUGACAUUUGGUUUCAGCAUGCUCCUACAAGUGAGUAACAGCCCUCUCACUCUCAGCAUACAUCAGCAACGUCGCCUGCAGACAACACCAAAACAUAAACAAAGCGACAGGGAACGAAAAUGAGCAAAUUGAACGCUACGAACACUUACCCGAGUUAACUUCUCCUUGGUGAGAGCCACACCAGCCAAGGGAUCAACCUCCUCCAAGGCAUGGAUGUCGCGAGAGCGGUGACGCAUGUCAUACGCCAUCUAUGCUAAGUAAGGCUGCACCUCCCUGGUCCCCUCUAAUGUUUGGGUGAUCUCAGCCAAACUCUCGGAGCUCUCGGAACGCCCUUCCUUGAGCAACCUCUUCGGUUGACCUUCACGCGACGACUCGACCCUCUCCUUCCUCUUCCGAGUCCUUAUCAUAACAACCUCCUCUGACCCCUGCACAAUGGGUUCCACCUCCUCAAUCACAAAGUCUUCAUCGCCAGUUUGGUGGCCAUCCACGUUCCCCAAAGAUGCAUCCUCCAUUCCCAUCGACUCUGAAACUAAUUCCUCCUCCCCUACAAGGACUUGAUCCUGGUUGCCAUCAUGGUCGCCAUCCUCGAUUUCAGUGUCUUCAACAUUCACCUCUUGGUCGCCUAAGCCCAUUGCUUUUGCCACCAAGGGAGGCAAAUAGGCAUAGUCCUCGUCCGCCAACUUCAACCUCAAAAAAUCGUCCUCACCCUCAUCAAACUCCGCCUCUUUCCCUUCGCCAGUCUCCAAGUCGAUAUCGUACCGCUUGGCAUGGUCAGCCUCGGCACACAGCCCAUCCAGUACAUCCUCGUCCGAGACCCUACCAUAGGGACCUUCCUUCUUCCGUGACCCACCAUCUCGAGGCAUCGUCACUACACUAGACAAAAAAUAAGGGUCAAGCACAGAAGAAAGCACAAAAUAGGAAAACAGUCAAAAACAAAAAUACAGAGCCGGGACCUGGGCGUAACCGAGCUGACUAUAUAUGCCAAGGCGGCAUAUUCGGUACGAGCUCCUAGACUCAAAUGCCCAUAGCACCCGGCGUAUACGACGCUCCAUCAGCUCGUUUAGCUUAUACUCUUGGGGCACUACACAAAAUCAGAAGUCAACAAGGGUAGUACAGUACAAGUAGUAAGAAAACAUGAGACACAAAACACGGUACCUAUUUUUUGGAAGGCCCUGUGAACUCGGAAAGGAUGCCUAUGCCAUUCUUGCCACUGCCCCCCGACGAGGAAACACUUCUGUCGCCAACUCUCGUUAGUGGAGGUAGGCAAGUCUUCCACCAAAAUCUUGAACUUCCCUCGGGACUUCAAGGUCACACAACCUCGUCUACCCUUCUUAGCGCAAUACGCCAUGUGCCAACAGGCGUUAAACUCCUCAAAGCAGGGGAACUCUUGCCCCAGUAAAUGAAAUAGCACCCUUGUCCCCAGUAUCUGCCUUAACAUGAUCGGGGUGACCUGCCCCGGGGCAACACGCAGACAUGCCAAAGUGAACUGCACAAAAGGGGGUAGCGGGAACAACAACGCGCAUCUUAACUGAUACUCGUACACCAAGGUAAAGUUUUCCGAGGGAUCCCAAAAAAAUUAAUGCCCUUGGAAAGAGGCGGUAACAAGACCUCACUCCAAUUCUGCCUAAGUGCUUUAAGCUCUGAUGAUGUCAUACUCUCGCCAGGGGGAUCCCAGAUCGAGUCAUCAGCCUCCUGAGAUCUCGCCAUACUAAACUCUUCUAUCUUCUGCAAGAGAGGGUCAGACGAGAACACGUGAGACCUAGCAUCCGUAACAAGAAUGCCCUCUCAUAAAUCAAGUGCAAUCUCCGCCAUAAGAUAAUCCAAAUCCUCCUCCCACCGGUGCAAAGUGUCCGAAUUAGGAUCAGGCGAGCUAGAGACAACCACAAUCUCCUCGCUGGACACCCACACCGGAUCUGUCAUACCCUACAUCCUCACAGGUUAGACUCUCGCUACCUUAACCCUAACUGGCCCGAUAGUAACCACCCAAUCCCUCAACCCAGAAUCAACCAUCAACAAAACCGCAAACAAUGCGAAAACCACAACAAAACCCCCCUACCGAUUCGAAACAAAACAAAAGCAGAGCUUAGAAUAGGAAUUGACAACUUCAUACCUCCUUGAAAACGUGGAUAUGCGUAGUGGCAGUGAAGCUAGUUGCAUACAGCCGAGCGCUCACACCCAACUAAUUGAGGAUGAAAUUGAACGUUCCCCAGAUCGAUUUAACAAGCUCUUCCAAAACGCCUCUCCAAUUAACCACUUGAAAACCGCUCCUUAGCCCUAAUCCCUCUGUUUUCGAAAUGCAAACUCCCUCCUUCUAUUUCUUCCAAACCUAUUUAUAGACAUCCAAAUUAACCACGACCGUCCAGAUCUUCCCCAUCUCAAUGGUCAGGGAACAGCCAUGUCGACCACGAUCAUAUGAGGCAUUAAGACACGCCUCACGAUCCCACGCAUGCGCGAAUUGCGCAAAAAAAAAAACGCCCAAUCAACGAAACCGUUACGACCUUAAACCUCGACAUAAAUGAUCACGUGUGCCUCAUAAACUGGGUCAUUUAUGACACGCAUGAGAUAUGGCGAACAGGCUCAUAUCGAGUUCUCGGAACUCAACCCUAGCCACCUCGCGACCCUCGCGUGGGGGACUUGGGGACUCGGCACCAAGCCACCUAUUCCCGGGUAAGACACAUUCUCGGCACAACUUGAGAAUAACCCUCCCCACCCAAGAGCUCUCUCAGACUGGGGACUUGGGGACUUGUUAAUACAUAGCCAAGUGUCUUGGCUGUGCCGAGAAUAUGGCAUAAUCACCUGGUCACCGGAAGCCAUUCCAGGCAAGGCAACACCGGCAAUGCCCUCACAGGCACUCAAAGAACGAAGGUCCGGCAACAAUGCACUUGCUGGAACCACUUCACAACUGCUAUACAACCUCGAAAGGGGAGAGACUCAACAACACUGAAAACAGUCCCACAUUGAAAGUUAACAACAGAACCCCCAAUACUAGCUUAUAAAACAGGCACGAAUUCCCAAAAGAGGUAAGUUCAUUAUUCCUCCCAUACUCCCAUACUCUCAUACUAUACAAGUAGCAACUAGAUGCUGACUUAAGCAUUGGAGAGUCGAAGACUGGGCCACCCCAGUCCCGACUCCUAACGCUGUGUUACUUGUGCAGCUACAGGAACUGGAGCCAAGAAUUCGACCUCACCAUCCUGAGAUCCCGGGAAGAGGUAGAAACAGUCAUAUAACUUAGAGAGCUGGACAAGGUGCUUGAGCGAGAAGAAGUUAUGUGGUGUCAACACUCUCAGGUGAAUUUGUUAAAGUGUAGCGACCGAAAUACAAAAUAUUUCCACAAUUUUGCGAAGCAAAGGGGAGCUAUGAAUAAGAUUGUUGGUGUCUUGGGGGAAGACAAUAGAUGGAGAACUGGUUAUGUUAAUGUUGGAUGUGUCUUUGUGGACUAUUUCAGGCAACUUUUUACUACAGGAGGGUCUGAUAUGAGUCAUGGGAUUUUUGGGGAGGUUGCUGGUAGAGUAAAGGGACUAGGAUGGGCGUUUUCUGGGUAUCAGGAGCUUUCAAUCCUCGUCGUACUAGACAGAAACAGAAAAUAAAGAACACAGCAGUUUGAUUACCCAAUGAAACAACAAGUUAAGGAAAAACACUGCUGGGGCUUUAACUCUUGAAAACCCCUAUUGAAAAGAAAAUUCACUAUGAAAAGAACGAGUCAAUUACAAACUUUGUAGCACUGACCGCAGCUACUAUCUCUAGAACCCUAGCAAAUAUGUUUGAAGCACUCUUCUUCUUCAAGUAAUCUCUUCAAGUAAUCUUCUUCUUCUUCAAUCUCCAAGAAAUUAACCACGUCCUUGAUCCUUCAAUCACAUAAACAAGUUCAACUCAAUAUGAACAAUUGAACUUGUGACCUUACAAAGUAUUGCAGCGGAAAAACCAUCUCUCAAAAGCUAUGCGUGCAAAGAUAGUUCUCUAAGAAUAAUUGUGCAAAAUGUGUUCUUCCAAUAGCGCUUGCGUCUUCUUUUAUAGAUACACACAAUAUUCUUGCAUCAACAGCCCUAAUCAAUAUCCAAGAAAGGAAUUCUAAUUAGAGUCAAAUCAUGAGAAUAAAUCAUAGGAUAUUAUUGAAGCAACAUAAAAGAAUAUCCUAAACCAUGUAGGAUUUCUUUCCUUACGCAAACCUGUGUCAAAAGUGUGGAUAUCAAAUCAGUCUUGUUAACACAAACUUUGCUUUGUUUUAUUCCACAGCAAUCAUGUAAUGAGAUCCUAACCAAAUUAGGACUCAAUCACUCACGGAAAUCAUCUCCAAUAUAACUCGUUCAAAACAUAUAUAUUCACUUAACAAAUCAAUCAUGUAUGAAACCAUAUAUAAAUAAGUUCUAAUCAAAUUAGAACUUCAUUGCUCGCACAUCUUCUGUAACACCCCGGACCAAAUUUUACCUAUUUACUGGGUAUUCUACGAGUUACUGAGGAAUUUUAAUAGUGCUCGGCAAUCUAAUAAAUUAACGCUUGAGUUUAUUUUCGAAUUUUACUCAAAAUGUCAAGUUCUUCUUUUAAGGCCCCGAUAUCGAAGUGCAAGUUGGCACAAGUUCCCCAGUGUCUUCGGAUUAUUUUUGGGAGCUUCGAAUUAUUUUCUAUGAUUUAUUGAAGGUUGGUUAAAGAAAGUAAUUUUCCUAAAUCAAGUUACAACAUUUAUUCUGGGCCUUAGGAUAUAGGGUUUAAUUUUUUUGCUGUUGAAUGGGUACUAGAGGAAAGGAAGGGGCUAGUUUCAGUCAAAAGCCCUUACGGGCGUUGACCCGCUCUUCUCUCUCUCUCUCCUCUCGACAUCGCCUCUGUCACCAGCAUCCUCCGACGCUGCCGUCUCCGGCCACCCCUGCUAGUGCAACCACCCCUAAUUUCUUUCUCUUCUCAUUCUCUAUCAAACCCCCAAGGCAAAUCAUUCAAGCAAACCCGAUCGGAGGAGAUUGAAGUUAAUGAACACGGGUGUGUUCGUCGGAUUCCGGCAAGCUCAGGCGACGAGACGACUACCUACGGGUAGGGUUUUGUUCCUCUUCUUUUCUUCUUCAAUUCCAUGUCUUUCAUUCUUUGAAUUGAGCCCAAAUUCUAAAAUCCCUCUUUUCUGUGUUUUCCUAGUUUCGGGUUCCUAGCUCCAAUGAUCGGCGAUCUAUGGUUCCGGCGAGUGCUUCAGGUUUUGGUGAGUUCCUAAAGCCUUAUUGUCACAUCCUGGUUCUUAUGUCAAUUUGCGGUUAUUUACUUUUGGGUUACUUUGACUUUUUACCGUUUUAAGUAACCGUUUACUAUUUAAUACUCCAAAAGUUGACUUUUUCUUCCGUUUGGAAUUUGGGAAAACUUUCUUCAUGAAAGUUGUAGAGGACGUUAAACAAAGUUUGUGGACAUGCGACACGCUUAAAACGAAGUUCGUAUGGAGAAGUUAUGGUCUAAACACGAAAGUUACUAUUUUGGUAAAAGGAGGUAAAUUUUAGUAGGCUUUAUUUUUGUUGGGGUAUUAGUUGGACCGGGUGUGGAGCAGCCCAACACCCCCCUCCCCCCACCUCUCUCUCUCUCUCUUUCCCUCUUCCUUCUCUCUUUCUCCCGAGCUCUCCCCGAGCCCUUCUCCUGCCGGAAGUUCCCAGCGCCACCUGCCGCCGUCCGGCCAGCAACCGGCCGCUGCUCUAGCCCAGUUAGAACCCCCGCCGUCUCCUCUCCCUUCCUGGGCCGGUGACUGGGCCUGUGUCGCCGUCGAUUGAAGGAAAACUCCCCGGAGACGCCAACUGCCCCUUCGCCGGAGUUUUCUCCUCCGGCCACCAUAGGUCGGGAUUUUUGGCUCGUCUUGUAGCCCUCGUCAAGGUGAGUAAUCCCACAAAAGAAAUUGGUCUAAUUCGAUCUUGUUAAUGAGAAAUGUAUAAUUGAAGUUCUAGGGCUCAAUUUAAGGUUUUGGUUCGGUUAACCUAGUUAGGCUUAGAAAUGGAUUUUGUGCUAGUUAAGGAAGUUGUUGUGCGGGUUGAGAGGAUUGUUGUGUUGAAAUUUGGGAGGCAUUGGAGGUCGCCGGAGUUCGGCUGCCGAUAGCCGCUGCCUGCGGAGCAGGCGGCAGCUCCGCCCCUUAAGGGCGGUUUUUCCUGUUUUUGAGAUGGUUUUAAUAAGAGGAGUUUAUUGAAGUAUAGUUUGGAAUUUUUGGAUGAGUUUUGGUUAGGUUUGGAAUUUUUCGGAGAUUGGAGAAAUUGGCGGUUAUGGUCCUAGUGCUAGAAUUGAUGAAGUGAAGUUGUAGAUGAAGUUUGGUAAAAAUCUAAUUAGCUUAUUAGUGGGUUAAUUGGGAGGAUUUCGAUGAUUAAGUUUAAAACAUUUAAUUUCCUAAAUCAAAGAGUGGUUCUAAGCAUAUUUAUUGUGCCAGGAUAUGAAGGGAACCUCACUUGAGUGGCGAUGCGGUUAUCGUUGGGCGUAUGCCUAAAUUUGUGAGUGGACAUUUUGGUUUUAAAUAAAUAAGCAUGAAAGAUUUUAUAAUUUAUUAUUUUAUUUUUCAAGCUUAUAUUAUUACUUCGGCUUAUGAAAUGAUCUUGGAAAUUAUUUGAGUUGGAUGCAUGGAUUUAAUUGUUGGUCAAGAUUUAUGGAUUUGAGCUCGAAUUAUUAAUUUGAUAUUUGAGUUUGGAUAUUUUUAUAAAUUCCAGAUUUCUUUAAAAUGGUUUUAAUGGUGGACUUUGAGAUUUAUAAAAGAUUUCCGAAAAUGGGAUUUUCGGUGGUUUGCUAUUUAUAAUCUUUGAAAUUAUUGGUGGAAUAUCAAUCUUGACCUUGAGAAUGUUUUAGCGAGUAUUUUGGAUUGAGAUAUUAAUUAUGAUUUUUAUUUGUUAAUUAAAUCUCGCUUAUAUUAUGGUUUUGAGAAUAUUUUGACGUAUGAGACACGUCAUUAAGUUUUUAUAAUUUCUUAUGAUGAUUUUCAAGUAUGGUUGGGAACCGUACCAUUCGUAUGAUCUUGGGGAAGAUUAAUGGAUUUCAGUGUUUUUGUAUGGUUUACUCACCAUAAUAUAGGGUCGCUUAUAUUGAUUACUGCUAGCUAACCAUUAUUAGUGGCUACUCACCAUAGGUGAGUAGAGCGCGCUCAGCGUGGGACGCUAUUAUAGCCUGGGAGGCAACCGAUUGGUAUUUAUACUUAUUUGUUAGCUAGCCAUUAUUAGCGGCUACUCACUAUAGGUGAGUAGAGCGUUUAGCAUGAGACGCUAUUAUAGCCUGGGAGGCACCGACCAGAGCUUGGGAGGCUCCUUUUUCAUGGUGAUAACUCUUCCCCUUAUUUUAUUCUUCUUAGAUACGUAUUUGAUCAACUAGCGGGGCUGGUUUAUCUUUUAUUACGAGAUUUCUAUAUUUAAUUAACCAGCGGGGCUAGUUUGUCUAUUUUUAUGGUAUUCUGGAUUUAAAGUUAUUUGGAUUAUCAAGUUGCAUACUGUUAGGUUUUAAAAGUUGAAAUGCGGGAAAGUAUAUAAGUUUAUAUUAGUUAAGUUAUUUAAUUUAUUUUUGUCCACUCACUCUAACGUUUUUAAAUUACUUUCUCCUGGGCCCUUUGGUUUUAAAUGCCCAGUGUGUAGGCUAGGUUUAAAUGAGGUCGAGCGUACAUGGAGUCGAGGCACAGUCAGAGGCUGCUUCCGCUUAAUCUUUAUUCAUUGUUAUUCUUUCAUUAUUAGAUAUGCUCUGAUCACCAAUUAGUGAAUUAAUUUUGUUUAUUGUUGGUUGUGGGAUUAUUUUAGUUGUGUAAUUGAUAUAUUGGGAGGUGUGAUGAACUUGGGGAGCAGGAAGGCUCCAGGUGUUGAAGAUGGAUGUUUGGUUAUAGAAGUGUUAAGUUGGAUUUUUCAUGUAAGGGUUGUCUAUUUUUAAGGAACGUUAUGCUGAAUUUUCGGUGAAUUUUCCUUAAAGGUGGACCCCGCAGGAUUUACCUCGUGUUUCAGGGUGAAAUUCGAGGUGGGUCCUGAGACUUAUGGGGAGUCCAGUUGGACCUUGGUGUGACUUGUGGAGCUGAAAUCUUCAAACUGGAUCAAGGCAGAGGCUUACGAGUUUGGCUAGGCAGUUGGUGGCGCGGUUCGUCAGCAGUAGAAUGACUAGGGCCGAGUCUCAGCAAGGUGGAGCUACUGGAUGAGGUUUUGGGAGAGGUUGGAUUGUCAGGCUAUCUACGAUCAAGAUUAAGACUAGUAAGGUUUUUACAGGAGUUAUGUUGAUAGAGAAUGAGUCACUAGACUGGUUGUUAAUUCGUUAGUGCCCUUACUGGUGCUAACUGAAUGCUGGUAUUAGAAUGCAGUAAUGCUGGACCAACUCCCAGUCUGAAGAAGUAAAAUGGUAAGUGUCUGAUGGGUUGUUCACUAACUUUUGUUGUUGUCUUAUGGAAUUUUGGCUGUGUGAUUUUGGAGUUGGAUGGUUGAUCUAUAGUGUUUUGGUUGAUGCAUGUUGAUAACUUGGAGUUUGAAGUAUUCGGGGAAGCUAUGGCAAAAUUCAAGCAAGUAUUUCUGGCAGGUCGCCGGAAUCCCGGUAGGAAUUCAGACGAGGCAACAGUUCCGGCAGAAUUCGUGAAGGUAGGUUGUCGACUUUCCAUUUUCGUUUGAGUUGUAGUUUUCGGUUUAGGAAAAUCUGCCAUAUUUAGAAAGUUUCUAUUUUUGGAAACUUUCCAUUAUUGGAAACCCUUUUGGGUGCCCUUAGUAAAUUUUGGUGGGAAGUUGUGUAGAGAGGAAAUGAUGGAAUUGUUGGUGUUGUUAUGUUGGCAUGCAUGAACGUAAGGGAGUUGAAAUUGAGAAUGGUGAAGCUUAUAUUAGUUGUCUAUGAUGAGCCGAGUCGUAAACGGAACUUAAGGUUCUAUGUCCUUAAAAUUUUAAGUAUUAAAGUCAUAUCGAGAAUGAAAUGAUUAUUCUUUGGUUAUGAUUGAAAAAUCAAGUAAAGAGGUGAACUUUGGGGAUAUGAGUUAAAUUGAAAGUGUUUGUAUAAUCACCAUAUCCCAAAUGAGUUAUAAUUGCGAAGUUAGUCGAAAAUGAUUAUUAAUAUAUGUUGGUCAAUUGUUGGUCAAUCCUGGUCAACCCAAGAAACCUAGUCAAAUUAGGAAGAAGUCGAAUCAAUGAUUAUUUUGGGGUCCGGUCUGACCAAUUUAUUCUUCUGUUUAUCGUCAGACGUGGGAUUGGCUAGAGAGUGUGAAUAGUUGGAGGCAGCGCUCGAGGAGUAUUCCGAGCAUUGGAAGGCUUAGGCCUAAUACUGUGAGUGGACUUUUGUUUUAAUUAAAAGCAUGUGAUGCAUUAUUUUGUUGAUCAGUUAUUAUUCUGCUAGAAUUUAUUACUUUUCCUAAUAAUUGGCAAUUUUCUUUAUUUUGGUGAGUUACCGAAAAUGACAUUUUCGGUGGAUUUAUGUAUAUGGAUAUUAUGAGGAUAGUAUGUAUAAUAAAUGCUAGCUAGCCACAUGUGCUUUUCCGUCAUAAUGAGGUAAAAUUCCAUUAUGGCCCGACGUGAACGUUAGACGCAAUCGUCGUAGCCCCAUAUGAAUAUAAUAAUUCAUAUAAGGAAUAUGCACGUAUAUAUGUACACUGUCUUUUCCGCAUAAUGAGGUAAAAUUUCAUUAUGGCGCAACGUGAGCGUUAGACGCAACCGUCGUAGACUUGUAUGAAUUUCUAUUUUUCCUUAUUUUAUUUCAUAGAAUUCAUACAAGGAAUAUGACGAGUGUAAAUACAUACAUAUAUAUUUAUAUUUUAGCCUGAGAGGCUCUAUUUUAUAAAGUUUUGGAGACUAGCCGGAGCUAGUCAUGUAUUUGCCAGUUUAUGAGUUAAGAGCUUUUAAGCUGUCGCAUGCAGCAUAUUUUCUAUGGAAAUUAAAUUGGGAAUGCAUAAAGAAUUAUUUCUUUUAAAUUUAUUUUUGUCCACUCACUAACGUUUUUCAAUUGCUUCUCCCCUGGGCCUUUCGUUUUAAAAAUGCCUAGUUUGCAGGUUAGUUUAGUCGAGGUCGGGUAUACUUGGAGUCGAGGCAUAGUUCGUAAUAUAACUUCCGUUUUUUUUUUUGUUAUUCUGUUUCUUUUAUUCCUUUUAGAGUUGCUUUGAACCAAUGAAUUAUUUGAUGUGGGUUUAUAUUUAGAUUUGUGAAUAAAUUGUGAGAUGUCGUGAAUUUGGGGAGCACGAAGGCUCCAGGAGUUUAAGAUUUGAUUUGGAUUUUUCAGAAGUGCUUGCAGGUACGAUAGGAAAGGGUUGUCUAUUUUCAAGAGAGGUUAUAUCGAAUUUUCGGUAGAAUCUGUUUUGGAGGUGGUCCCCGUAGGGUUUACUUUGAAUUUCAGGGUGAAAUUCGGGGUGGGUCCUGACAUCUUCUAUUUUGUAUUGAGAUGCCAAUAAAUCAUAUACCAAUAUAGAGUUACGGUGGAGCAGGGAGUGACACUUAACAAACCUUUUUCUAGAGGAGAAAUUGAAGCUGCGCUAAAGGAUAUGGGACCAACAAAAUCUCCAGGGCCAGACGGAAUGCUGCCUCUUUUCUAUCAAAAGUAUUGGUAUGUGGUAGGGGAUGCGGUGGUCAGUAGGUAUUUGGAGUUCAUCAAUGGGAAUGGCACGGUUAAGGAUCUAAACACACCUUAAUUGCUCUGAUUCCUAAAAUUCCGGCUCCAAAAAAGGUGACUGAGUUUCGACCUAUUAGCUUGUGUAAUGUCAUCUAUAAGUUGAUUUCGAAGGCUUUGGCUAACAGAUUGAAGGUGAUUUCACCGAAUGUGAUUGCGGACUACCAAAGCGUGUUUGUGCCAGGGCGUCUGAUUCAUGACAAUGUUAUUGCUGCGUUUGAAACAAUGUAUAAUUUAAAGAGAGGGGAAGAAAAGUAGGCAGAAAACAACGAUCAAAUUAGAUAUGGCCAAAGCUUGUGAUAGAGUCGAAUGGGAGUUUUUGAAAGGGAUGAUGCUUGCUAUGGGUUUUCCUUCGCGGUUUAUUUGGCUGAUAAUGGAGUGUGUGCAGUCGGUCUCCUAUUUUGUGCUCAUCCAAGGCAGACCUUUUGGUAGAAUUACUCCAUCUAGAGGAAGUCGCCAAGGAGAUCCUAUUUCCCCAUAUCUUUUUCUUCUAGUUGCAGAGGGUUUUCUGCCUUAUUGAAAAGAGCGAAAAGAAAAAAAAAUUUACAUGGAGUUUCUAUCGCCCGGGGUGCACCAUCGGUAACACACCUGUUUUUUGUUGAUGAUAGCUUGCUGUUUUGUGAUGCUUCAGUUCAGGAUUGCCUCAAAUUGAAGGAGAUUUUUGCGGUGUAUGAGAAGGCAUGAGGGCAAAAAAUCUGCUGUUAGUUUCAGUCCAAGAACGACGAUGGUAGUGAAGGAAUCUUGUAGUACAACGUUGGAUAUGAAAAUUGUUCCAUGCCAUGAACGUUAUCUGGGAUUGCCUCUAGUGACUGGAAGAAAUAAAAAGAAGGUUUUUAAGGAUGUGGCAGACCGGGUGUGGCAGAAAAUACAAGGUUGGGAAGGUAAACUUCUUUCCAAGGGUGGUAAGGAGGUGCUUAUCAAAGCUAUGGCUCAGUCCAUACCUACGUACACCAUGAGUGUUUUCCAGUUACCGGUGGGGAUUUGCAAUGAAAUGAACAGACAUUUAGCAAGAUAUUGGUGGAAAAGGUAUACAUUGGAGGAAGUGGGAUGCACUUUGUGUGUCGAAAGGGGAAGGUGGAUUGGGUUUUAGGGAGUUUCAGUGCUUUAAUCAAGCAUUGAUAAGGAAAAUUGGUUGGAGGCUGAUUCAAGAUGAGGAGUCUUUGGUUGGUCGAAUGUUGAAGGCUAAAUACUACCCGAAUAGUUCUUUUAUGGAGGCUGAAAUUGGGAGGAAUCCUUCCAGUAUAUGGAGGGUUGUGAUGUGGGGUAAACAACUUCUAACCAAAGGACUUCGGUGGAGGAUAAGCAAUGGGACUGAUAUCCAGGUCUUUCAAGACCCUUGGGUGCCUGGAAUACCUGAAUUUAAAAUUGCAUGGAAGAAUGGCUGUGAUUGGAAUAUGAGAGUGAAUGAGCUGAUUUCAGUGUCUGGUUUGUGGGAUAUGUAUAAGCUAGAGCAAGUAGCUACAACGCAAGAAGUGGAGGUUGUGCUUAGCAUCCCUAUUGUACAAUCAACCAAAGAAGAAAAAAAAAGAAAGUCAUAUAACAUAGAUGACAUUAGCCACAGUGACACAUCCGCGUCAAAAACAAACGAACUUGUAUUUGAUGCAGAUUAACAAAGAUGUAAUGUCAUAUCGGGUAUGAGAUGUGAUUUUGCAUUAGGAUAAGUUGAUAACAACAAGGUAGAGAUUGAAUCAUGGGGUAGUCGCAAUCUUUGAAUGAAUUGCAACCUCCAUUCUAGCCCCUCCAUUAAAGAUGUUGUUGCAUUUAUGAACCACCACACUUCAUUGCUUACAAAGUUAGAUUGUCGGCACAACCUUUUAAAAAGAUCUAUUUACAAUUCAGCUUCUAUGUACUCUGUAAUUUUAGUUUUACGAGUUACAUGCUACAUAAUUUAUUUUUGAUACAAUAAAAAGAAAUUUAGGUUAGAAGUGAGAUAGUAAGACACCUCGGUUAUGUUAGCAAGUUAGUAACACAUCAUUUAUAGUUGAUUAUUUAUUUUUUUUCUUUUGAGUUAUAUCGACAGAAGUUCAUAGUUGAUUUUAGAGGAAAAUUCAGUAGGGGUACCUAAACUAUGUUGCCAAGGCCAAGAUGGUACCCAAACUCUAAAAUGUAUCAAUGUUAUACCUAAAGUCUUAUUUUAACAUCAACAAGGGGUCUCCGGUUAGUUUUAAGAAUAUUUCAUUAGCCUAAAAAUCUUUUCUUUUGUGCUAUUUUUAGUUUAGUAAAUCAAAAAAUUGACGGAGCAUGGUGAGCCUAAGAAAUUGAAUUUGUUUAUUUAGCACACUGCAAAUAUAUAAAUUUAUCCUCUUUACUCAAAGGUAAACAGUUAAUUUUUCAUCAUUGGAGAAUCUAUUGAUACUAGAUUAGAUUAUUUAUCAGAAGUUAGACAGUCUUAUAAAGAAUUGCAAGAAGAAAGAGAAAAAUUAAGAAAACUAAAAGAAUUUCGAGCUAAGCUUCAUAGAAGUACUAAAAAUUAUUGGGAUAUUAUCUAUCUGAUCCAUAAAAGGAUCUAUCAAGUAGAAGAAGAGGUAAAAAUUCUCAAAGAAACUUUUGAAGAAGAUCAAAAGCCUCUUGAUUAUUUGAGCAUCGGUUAGAUCCGUCUUAGAUGGUAUCAGAGCCUGCUUUGCUCAAAGGCAGGUAAGAAAAAGGUUUAUUCCACAGAGUUGGCUUCUCUUGACAAACAAAAGAGAAUCCAAACUUAAAAAUUAUCAGUCCUAUUGUACUACAAAAAUAACUGAUAAAUGAGAAUUGUGCUUUCAUACAAGGCAUAUUCAAGAAAAUCAAUACUCCAUUGAAUACGUUUAUAGAGUAUUAAAUACUCUCUACGACGAACAUAUUCAUCUCCAAAAAGAAAUUAGAGUAGAAGAGCUUGAUCCAUCAAGACCAAGCUUAAUCGAGUUCCUAGAUCAUUUAUCUAGGGAUAAAACCUCUGAAAAGGUUACAGAACAACUCGAGAGAUUUAAUCUACGGAUUAAUCAACUUGAGGAAAUAAAUUCAAAAAUUGCUAGGCUUGAAAUCAAGCUAGAUUAUCUAAAAGAGAAGCCAUAUCUAAUAGAUAUUGAAAGAAAAUUAGUUUGCAUUGAGAAUCUUGCAAACAAUAUUCAUUAGCAAGCAGCGGAACUAAGAAAUAUUCAAGAAAACUUGAAAAAGCUUUUAGAAACUCUUAUCUCAAGGAUAGGAUGAAUCAAAGAGUAGAUCUAAAAGUAAAACAGGAAGAUGUUAAAGCUAUCAGCUUUCAUCGACCUACAAAGAAACUUGCUAAAAAUAUGGAAGCAAUAAUUCAUCAGCAGAAUUAUAAUAUCGCUUAUCUCCAAGAGAUAGGUACUGACCUCGAAAUUCAAUUUCGAGAGUUACAUAACAAGAUCUCAAAUCUACAAAAGAUUGUAGAAAAAAUGAAAGAAGGAGAAAGUUAUGAGAAGAUCGAUGAAGAGUCGCUAGCACAAAAUGUAGCUAGUAAAAUCAUCAUACAUUCUCCACCCCCACCAAUGGGAGAAAGUAGAGUAAGAUUUAUUGAACCAAAACUACUUGAAUGGAAAUCAUCGAAAACAUCAAAGUCUACAACAAAGAGAGAUGUGAAGAUGUUGAGCAGAAUCCUCAGUAAAAGGAACACAGUUCCGGUACAGUUAAUAAACGCUCAAGAAUUUGAGUAUAAUGAAAUUGAAUCUAGUGUGCGAGAAACAUCUGCUCCUAGAUUUAAAUUCAAUGGGAUCUAUAAGAAAUGAUCUUUCAUUAUGGAUUCUCACAUAUUCAAGAUACUAGAAUUAACUAUUUCAGCCACAGAUGGUGAAACAGACAUUAGAUUAAUAACUCCAAAGGAAGUAAGUGAAGCGUUCCAAAAAAAAUAUUCCUAUAUGCAUAUUGGAGCAGUCCAAGUAGGAAUAAAACUUUUAGCUAGAGAUGGAAUUGACUGUUAUGUUCUAUGUGUCUUACAAGACGAUAGAAUAACAGAUUUUAAGAAAAGUCUGUUAGGAACAGUGGAAGCUUCCUUGUGCAACCAAGUUGCAUAUUUCAAUGUGUUUCCAAACUUCACAACGCAUCUCAAGGAUGCCGCUCACUGUCUAAGACUGAGAAUUAAGACAGAUGGGAUUUCUAUGAAGAAAGGAAUGAUGGAACUUGCAAUAGAUUAUCGAAUAUAUUAUAAGUUGAUGAGCUCAAAUGUAACUCCCAAUACCAGGUUUCCAAAUAGCCUUGGGAUUACUACAUCUGUUCUCACCAACCCAAAAAAUAAUUCUCAACAAAAACAUGUCACAAAAUGGCAUGAAGUAACAUUCCCAAAAGAAUGGAAUUUAACCCCUCCUGUCAACCAACUUGAAAGUACCAAUGCUUCAAUUUAUGAAGACAUGGGAGAAAAAAUAAGCUUACAGUUUCAUAGGCAUUCAUUUGCUAAUUAUGAAGAAGCUAGUUCCUCUGGAACUAAAUCAAUUUUUCAUGAAGAAUCUUUUGAGGAAGAAAAUACUAAAAGACCUAUGAAAAUGCUUAGAGCAAGAGAACUAAAAGAGUUAUAUGCACAAGCUGAGACUUGUGAAUCCAUAGAAGAAUUGGAGAAAAUCGUGAAUAAAAUUUCUCAAAUUCGAAAGAAUAAGAGGAAGAUUUUCCUUAUCAAGCCAAAAGAAGAGUCAAAUAUAUCAUCCUCCAUGGAUACAGGAGAAGGUGAAAGACAGGCUCCUCCAGAAGGUGGUCAUACCAUAGUGCAGAAUAUUACAAACAAUCCAACCAAGAUCAUUCGAGAAAAGAAUAUCAAGCUUCCAAAAGGACAAGCUCCUACAAGAAAGAAUGGCGAGCGAAGUUCUCAGAAGUAUAUCCCUAUAGAACCCAAAUGAGGACAGUCAGUGUCCGAAAAAGGGGUUUAUCUGGAUUUAGAUUAGGUACGAGAUAAAAGAAAGACAAUAGAUAACUGGGUUGCUAGUUUAAAGUUAACUCAGGCUCUACUGUUAUCAAAGUAUGCCUACGAGGAUGCUCAUGCAUAUUAUGAGUCAACCUUAAUUGGAAUAGUCCAGAAAUGGUAUCAGUCCUUUAAGAGAAGUUCUAAAUUGGCUGAUUAGGCAGUCGAAUUAGCUCAGACUAAUAGUCCUUUAGAUUUUGCAGUGCCUAUCUAUGCACAAUUUUGUGGAGAUAUCACUAGGCAUAGCAAGCAAUCUAAAUAACGAGCUAAGGCAAAUAUUCAUAAAUUGAGUAUUUGUAACAUGAGGUAUUUUGAAAAAUACACAAAAUGAAUUCCAAAACUACUACUGCACUAUUGGAGACAUUGAGAAUGAUGAUCUCAUCAGAACAUACUAUAGAAAGUUGCUAGAACCCUGGAAUGACGUAGUGGCACAGUCCUUGGAAGAAAACCCCCUUCAGUAUUUUACUGUAAGAGGAAUACUAGAAAGAGUUAGUGAUCUCUUAAGAAAACAAUGCAUAAAGAACAGAAAAUCCAAAACUGCCAAGAAGCAACUCAGGGGAGUUAAAAAAUAUGUGUCCAAAAAUACUGGAUACUCUAACACAAUAGGGAUGUCAUAUUCCUAAAGAAAGAAAAUACAGAAAGAAGUUCUCUGGCAGCAAGCAUGGUAGAAAAUUUGCUUCAAAAAAGAAGUAUAAGUUCAGAAAGAGUUCUGAAUAUAAGAAAGAAAAAACUUUUUUAGGAAGAAAAAGAAGGCAAAUUCUUCCUCCAGAGAAGUUAAGAAAUGCAGAUGUUAGCUUUGCAAGGCAGAUAGACAUUAUGCAAAUGAGUGUCCUAAAAAGGACAAAAGAUCUUCUAAAGUCUUGAUUACUGAAUAUGAUGAAGCAAUAGAAUACGCUAAUCUAAAAGGCUUUGAAGUCGCUUAUUCUGAUGAAGAGAAUGAGUCAAUAUAUUCUCUUGAGUACCCAUCAGAAAGCGAGAUAGAAAGUGCUUCAGAAAGUUCUGAAGAAGAAGAAGAAGAAGAUAUGGGAUAUCGUCCUAUAAUUUUAUUACAGAUACAAAAUUGGAAAGAAGAAACCUUUGAUAUUAUCAGUACUUUCCAUCCCAAUCCGGGAAAGUUUACAUGUGACUAUUGCAAAUGCGAUAAUAAUAAUACAAUUCCCAUGUACUGUGAAAGUACAGAAGAAACUUACCAUCAAAAAUGCUUUAUUGCAGAACUAAGAAGAAAAACCAAGGAUAAUGAUGCUCAUAUCCUGGUAGAAGAGGAAUAUAUUAAAAAAACAAGAGAAGAACCUUGAAGAGGAUAUAAAAAUGAUGAAGUUUGUAACUUCAUUAAGCCAGAACAAGGAAAUAAAAGAGGCUCUUGAUUCUCUUAAUUCCAUACAUGUUGUGACAAGUGUCAAUCCAAUAACUGCUAUGACAAGUGUCAAUCUAAUAACUGCUGUGACAAGUGUGAAUCCUCUUGAGUCUAUAACUACUGUGAGACAUGUCAAUCCUUUCAUAGAAUUACUUGAUGCUCCAAGAAAGCAAGAGUGAGUAAUGUGACAAGUGUCAAUCCUCUUGAGUCUAUAACUACUGUGAGACAUGUCAAUCCUUUCAUAGAAUUACUUGAUGCUCCAAGAAAGCAAGAGCGAGUAAUGCCAGUCCAGACAAGCAUAUAUAGCAAUUAUAUCACCAUAGGACUGAACUUUCCCAAUUAUAAGAAGUAUCAUCUACAUGCAUUUGUAGAUAAUGGUUCAGGGUACUCUCUUGGGAAAAAUCUCUAAGAACAGUUACUGGAAUUGCAAUGGAAGAAAAUGAAAUAGUCAUGGACACAAUGGCCCGAAAUGUAAAAGUUUCCUAUGGAGGAGGAAAUUUUAUCAUCAAGAUUCUUUGGUAGUGUGAAGGUCAAACCGCUGAUUUGUUGAUUGAAAAUGACUUCCUUCUUCAACAAACAGUAACUCAAACAUCACAAAUGAUUGGGUUUGAGAAAAAUAAAAAAUUCUAUUGGAAAUCUCUAUUAACAGACGCGGUGUGCGUUACCAGUAAAAGAUUUACAGAUCAAUAUCAGAAGUCGUCAGCGAAGAGUGGUGAUUAUAAGCCAACUUUAGAACCAGUUUUACUGUUACAAGACUAGCUUAAAGGUCACAGUGAAAUAUUGGUCAAUGAAGCAACAAGUUCAGGAGACUCUAAAUCAAAGGAAAAUUCUGCAUAUCAAAUUUCUGACAAUGAGAGUUCUGAUGGAGAAGAAGAAUACAUUAGAGAGCAUAAACUAAAGGUAUAUGCUAAUAAGGUAGAACAAAAGAAAAUACCGACUCUCAUAGAAAUAGAAAAUUUGUUGAAACCAGUAAUCAGUGAAGAUCCUCAGAUGUAUUGGGAAAGAGACCCAAUAUAUUGUCAGCUAAGAAUGCAUGAUGCAAAUGCUAUUUGUCAUGUUACGGCCAUCCCUCAUUAUAGGGAAGAAGAUAGGACAGAAAUGGAAAAUCAGAUCUAAGAACUUCUUGAAAAGAAGUUAAUCAGGCCUUCAAAUAGUCCUUAUCAUGCCCCAGCAUUCUUAGUAAGAAAUCAUGCAGAACAAGUAAGAGGAAAAACCAGAAUGGUAAUCGAUUACAGGAAUGUAAAUAAAAAGACCGUUAAAGAUGGUUAUCAGAUAGCUCAAGUGAGAGUUCUCAUCAACAGGCUUAAAGGAGCAAAAAUCUUCUUCAAGUUUGAUGCAAAAUCAAACUUUUGACAAGUUAAAAUGCAUCCUGAUUCCAUUUCCCUGACAGCUUUUGGAACUCGUCAAGAGCAUUAUGAAUGGUUAGUUAUGCCAUUUGGUAUUAAGCAAGCCCCGUCUAUUUUCCAAAGGAAAAUGGAUAAUAUUUUCAAGCCCUACUCAGAUUUUUGCAUAGUUUAUAUAGAUGACAUUCUUGUCUUCUCUAGAACUAUGAAUCACUACUAGAAUAAAGGACUUAGGCGACCAAAACACGACGAGGAAAGCCUUUUCGUCGCCUAGGUAAGCAGUUAGGCGUCGAAAACUUCAUUCGUCGCCUAAACUAACUUAGGUGACGAACCAUGAUUUGUUUCGUCGCCUUAGAUUACCAAGGAGACAAAAGAAGGACUCAUACUAUUUUCGUCGCCUUAGUAGAUAUUCAGUCGACGAAGAUGGUUUCGCCGCCUAAACUAUCAACUACUUAGGUGACGAACAUGUUAUUUCGCCGCAUAAGUUUAUCUUAGUCGACGAAAGUGGUUACUUAUGCGACGCAGAUGUUCGUCACUUAAGUGAACUCACUUUUAGUAUAACUUGUUUAAUAAGUUACACAUGCAAGUAUACAUAUUUUUGAACCAACUAUAUAUAGGAAGCAAUAUUUUCAAAAAUCUUGUGAAAUAGGAUGUGAUCGGUAUGAUGAAAUACGUCUAUGGUUGAAAAAUCACAUAUUUCCGGUAACGUUUGGUCACCGAUAGAAGCGGUCAACCCCAUUUACGCUUAUGCUUCCCUAUGUGGAGCCUUAUCGUCGGGAGGUGACCAUUCGUAAAUUUUUACAUAGGUGGUUAGAUCUCAUCAAUGUGAGAGUUUUGUGUGUGGAAGAAUCAACCAAAUUAGGCCAUAUAGGGGUAUGUAAGAGCGUUUUCGUGUAAUAAUUAGCGUUGGUUUAGGUUUGACCGUGUGGAUCGAGACCCAAAUCUUAAGGAAAACAGGUGAAUUUUUUUUCAUAGCCGUAUUUAAGUAUACUAAUCAUAUCGUACGGUUGAAUUUUCAUUUUGUGAAAUUUAGCCAUCGGAAUCACAACGUGCCUACUAAUGUGGUAUAGCUUGUUUAGUAGGUUAUAUGUAAGUGUACAUCUUUAUGAACCAACUAUAUAUAGGAAGCAAUAUUUUACAAAAUCACGUGAAAUAGGAUGUGAUCGGUAUGAUGAAAUACAGCUAUAGUUGAAAAAUAACAUAUUUCCGGUAACGUUUGGUCUCUGAUAGAAGCGGUCAACCCCAUUUACGCUUAUGCUUCCCUAUGAGGAGCCUUAUCGUCGGGAGGUGAACAUCCCUAAAUUUUUACAUAGGUGGUUAGAUCUCAUCGAUGUGAGAGUUUUGUGUGUGGAAGAGAAUCAACCAAAUUAGGCCAUAUAGGGACAUGUAAGAGCCUUUUUGUGUGUUAUAGAAUAGUUUGACGACGAAACUGAUAAUUUAGUCGCCUAAAUAACUAAAUUUGGGCGGGUAGAUAAAAAAUUUGGUCUACUUCAGCGGCGAAAUACUUCACUUUCGUCACCUAAGUCUCAAAAUUGGGCGGCAGCGUUUUGCGCUCAAAAUUUGGCCCAAAAUUUGGACCCAUUUUUCAAAACUAAUUUGGGCUUUUAGGGGACGAAAUAUUGGUGUGAUGGUCACCUAGUGUAAACCAAAAACACCCAAAAUCACGCAAAAUCCCCAAGUGAAAUACUAAACCAAAAACACCCAAAAUCCCUAACUGACAGAGGAUCGCCCCUCCCUAUUUUCUUCCUCUAUGCUAUCAAACCCGAUCCUUCCUCCCAUCUGCGCAUUCGAUCUCCACCCAAUCCCUAAUCAAUCUCCACCCUCAUCUCUCCUCCCAUCUGCGCCUCUCUCUCAUCUCUCCUAUGAAAGGGUCAAUCUCCACCCGCAGACUCUCUUGAGUCUCCUCUCAUCUACGCCUCUCUCUCUCCUAAAUCGAUCACAAGGUCAGGGUUUAUGGUUUAUGGUUUAUGGUUUAUGGUUUAUAGUUCACAUUAUUAAUUUAGAUUCAGCAUGAUUCUUAUUAGGCAAACCUUUUGAUUUGCUUGUUCAGACUUAAAUCAAGUACUAAUGGAUGACUGAUUGCAGGUUCAUGUCGUACAAGAGAAACACUGUUCUACUUCCUGCGUUGGUUUCUGGAAGAUACCAACUAGCUUCAUCCUUGAGGUACUUUAUCCAACUUUAAACCUUGAAAACAAUUUUAUAAGUUCCACUUUGUUCUACUUGGAAUUAGCUGAUGGGGUAAGAAUGUGUAUUAAAUAUCAUUUGUACCAUCUCUUUGUACUAGUGUACUAUUGGAAUGCAGAAUUUAACUUUACCAAUCAAGCUCUUCAUCUAAUAGUUUCAGCUGCAUUCUAUUUUGUUUCAGCUGCAUCCUAUUUUGUUUCAGCUGCGUUCUAGUUUCAGCUGCAUUCUAUUUUGUUUUAGCUAAAUUCUAUUUUGUUUCAGCUGCAUCCUAUUUUGUUUCAGCUGCAUUCUUGUUUCAGCUGCAUCCUAUUUUAUUUCAGCUGCGUUCUAGUUUCAGCUGCAUUCUAUUUUGUUUCAUCUGCAUUCUAGUUUCAGCACUACACUAUUUUGUUUCAGCUGCAUUCUAAGCAGAAAGCAUUCAUGAAGUGAAGUGAAAGAGUCUAAACCAAUGCACUGUAUAUAAUGAUUCCUAUAAAUACUGUUGUUCUCCAUGUUCCUUCCUUGCUGGUUUAUGGUUUCUUUCAGUUGCUUUUAGGGAUUAUGGUUUAUGGUUUCUUUCAGUUUAUAGUUGAUCCAUAAUGUGAGAGUUUCUGAUCUUAGAAUGUUAUGUGUUAUUACUUUCGUGUUAUACAUGUACAUUCUUUCUUCCUUAAUUUGUGUUACUUUUCCUCUUAUUGGCGAACAGGCAUACACUUCUUGGAAGGCUAAGCUCCACAAGUUUUUUAAGCAUUACAAAGGGGAAAAGGCUCCAAAAGAGUUUGUGCAAGGAGGAAGGAUGGAUGAGUGGAAUUGGCUUAAGCAACACUUCUUGUCACCUCAGUUUCAGGUACGAUAUGUAAUUUAGUUAGAAGUUUAGUUUAAAUUUAAAGCACUAUGGUAAGUGUAGUAUUUGAUUUCACUUUUGUUUUGGAAAAUGAUGAAUUGAAUCAAAUCAUAUACCUAUAUAUGAGCUUAUGUGAUGCAAUGUGAAGCAGUAACUUUUCUAUAUGUUUUCUUAACGAAAACUCUCAGCUGCAAACUCGGCAAACCGAGACAAAUUAACCAUGCAUCACCACUCCGGUUGUACACCUUUCAUAUACAAUGCAGACAAACUUAGGCGUGAGGGUGAAUCAUUAUACCUUAUCAACGGUUUUGAGGUGACAUACGACGCCCCACAUAACGAGAUUGCAGCCGAAAAAGUCGUAAGUGUUCUUUUAUGUGUUUGCUUAUUCUUUUACUUCAUUUAUAUGAUACUGGACACUGCUUGCUUUCAGUUAUUGUUGGUGUGUGUUGCUUUGUGUUUAUAUGUUGUUGUGUUUUGCAACACUUGAUGUUGUUGUGAGUUGAUAAAAUCUCAUAUGUUUCAGCUAAGUGUUGUUGUGUUGAUGUGUGUUGCUAAGUGUGUAGCAUGUAUCACAUAUAUGUUUCAUUAGAUGCAGCAUGCCUAUUAACUCCUUCAACUUGCUCUUUUUUGAAAUUGUUGUGUUUUGUUGUGUUUCACAUAUUGCUGUUGUGUUUUAGUAAUUGCUAUGUGUUUUGCUGUGUUGUUUGGAUUGUUUUUGUCAUUGCAGAACGAUAUGAGACAGAAAAUCCUAACAAUGCUAAGCGAACAACAGCUGGACACUCUAGAGGAUGAGCUCCUUUAACAAGUACACCUCCGAUCUCAGCUUGACGCAUUUGAGAAGGUCCUUGGGACCAAGGGGGGGGGGAAUAAAGGGGCUUGGGAGAGUUGAAAUUUUGGGCAAGGGAAAAGCAGCAAGGCGUUCUCGUCCCAAUGAUAUAGUUCUUGAGGAGGUUCAGGAGCAUGCCCAACAAGCCCAAGAGGAGGCACGACAUGCUCAGGAGGAGGCACAACAAGCCCGGGAGCAGGCCAAAGUAGCCCAAGAGAAGAUCCUUGAUUAUGAGCGCCAUAUACAAAUGUUGGAGAAGUUUGUGCAGUCAUAGCCGAGCGGACAAGAAGGCCAACAUCUUGAGGUUGAUGCUUUAAACUAGGUCCAUGGUUUUUUGUUUUUGUGAAACCCUUGAUAUUUUGCCUCUUCUUUUGUUAAACAUUGUCUAUAUAGGACUAGUAGGGGCUAGAGUAUGAGGAGGGUUUAAAUUAUGAACUUUGAACUUGCUCUUUUAUUUGUGUAUAUAUACCUUUUGCAAGUUUAGUAUUUUUUGAGUUUGAACUUCUUUUAUUAUGAUUUUGAUUUGCACUAGGUUUUUAACUUUGAAUGUGAACUUGAAAAUAUGCACACAUAAUUACUGUGUGCAUAUCAAUGAUAUAAUUAGAUUUUUUAAUAAUAUAUAAUUAUAAUUUAAAAGCAUAUAUAUAAAAUGUUGAAUUAAGACUUAUGCGGCGAAAAAUGAGAAACCGUCGCCAGAAUUGAAUCCUCGCCUUAAACAUAGCGACGAUUAAUAAAUGGUCGCAUAAAAGGAAACUAAGGCGACUAUAAUUUCCUUUCGUCACCAAUUGUUGGCGACGAUAAUUUCGACGCCUAAAUGUGUCAGUGUUCCUCACCUUAGACUUAUGCGACGAUGAAUAUAUAGUCGCCUAAGUGUUCAUUUAGGCGACCAUUAUAUUGUUUUCGUCGCCUAAGUUCUUACGGGUCCAUGCUGAAGCGAAGAUUGUUAGGCGACGAAACCUUUCGUCGCCUGAGAACUUAGGCGACGAAAAUGAGCAUUUAGGCGACGAAAUCUGUUUGUCACCUGAGUCCUUUAUUUUAGUAGUGAAUGAGCAUCUAAAACACCUAGAACUGGUGUGUAAACUUAUUGUCCAGAAAGGAAUUAUCCUUGGACAGAAGAAAAUUCACCUCAUAAAGGGAGAAAUUGAAUUCCUUGGCAUUCAUGUUAAAGAUGGAGAGAUUCGUCUCCAAGAACACAUUGUAAAGAAAAUCAGCCAGUUUCCAGACAAUAUACCAGAUGCAAAAUCUUUGCAAAAAUUUUUGGGAGUUGUUAAUUUUGCGAGAGACUUUAUUCCUCAAGUCAAUGGUCUCACUGCACUUCUCUCUCCAAAAACAAGUUCUAAAAAGAUAUGGUCUUUUACAGAAGAUGACAGUAAUACUGUCAGAAAAAUUAAAGAAUUAACAAAAAAUCUUCCUCGCUCCUUUACAAUUACUUGAAGAAGGAAAUUUGAUCAUUUUGCAAACUGAUGUAAAUAAUUAUUAUUGGGCAGGAGUUGUUUUAGCUGUUGCUCUAGAUACAAAUCAUGAAAAGAUUUGUAAAUUUUAUCAGGAAAGUUUAAUGCAGCAGAGUUAAACUAUUCUACUGGAGACAAUGAAGUCCUUGCCUUAAUUAAAUGCAUUAAGGGUGCUGAGGCAUUCUUAGGAAAUAAAUUUGUAGUUAGAACUGAUAACAAAAGAGUUAAAAAUUUUAAAAACUACAAAUUAACUGAUGCUGCUGAUAGAGGAAGAGUUUUAAGAUGACAGAUGUUUUUAACCCAAUAUGAAUAUUGACACGACCCACCUCGAAUUUCAUCCUGAAACCCGGAGUAAGUCGUGCAGGGACCACCUCCAAGGAAAAUUUACUGAGAAGAUUUCUAAAAUCUCCCUUGAAAAUGGACAACCCUAACUCGAAAAUUCCAAAUUACACUCCUAAUACAACACGUCCAAACAUCACAUAAUUAUCCUUCAAAAAUUCUAAACAUAAUAUACAAUAAUCCCAAAGUAUUCAGAGCUACUAGACAGUAGCGAAAGCAAGAAAACACGAGUAGGUUAAACAUGUAACCUACUGAUGAAAACUGGCGGAAAUGCGGGUGACUAUGCCUCGCCUCCUACUAGAUCCAACCCGAACUCUGCAGACUGGACAAUUUAAAACGAAGGGCCCAGGGGAAAACAUUUAAUAACGUUAGAGUGAGUGGACAAAAAUAAAAUAAUAAAUAAAAUAUUUAUGUUUCCCCAAAUUAAUUUCUAAGGAAAAAUCAAAUGCAUGCCGCAAGCGAUAAAACUUUUAUCUCAUAAAAUAUCGAGCAUCUCAGACUCUAUAAUAUAUGUAUGUAUUUACACUCGUCCAUACUCCCUAUAUAAAUUCAUGGGUCUAUAUAGGGCUACUACGCUCGCGUCUAACGCUCACGUCACGCCUUAAUGCGGUGCUACACUACGCCAUUAAGGUGGACAAACAGAUGUAUAAAUAUGUGUCCAUACCCCCUAUACGAAUUAAACACUCAAAUAGGGCUACUACGCUCACGUCACACCAUAAUGCGGCUAUAUACUACGCCAUUAAGGUGGACAGACACAUAUGGCUAGCUAACAUUUCAUAUACAUACUCUCUCAUAAAUACAUAUUUAUAUCCACCGAAAAUCCCAUUUUCGGUAACUCUCCAAGAGAAAUAAAAUUCGUCAAAUUAAAAUGACGUCAAAAUAUUCUGCAACAAAUAUUGUUCAACCAUGAACUCUAGCAUGCAUUUUAUUUAAAACAAAAGUUCACUCACAAAUUAGGCCUAAGCCUGACGUCGAUCUGGGGCCUCGUCUGCUCGAGCCUCCUCACGUCCUGUUCCAAAUAUAAUAUUAAUUUCCCAACUAACAAUCCAAUAUUUAAUCAAAAUAGGCAAAAUUACCCGAGAGCCAUAAAUACGCUCAUCAUUGCCUAACUUCGAUAUUCUUAAAUUGAAACGAUCCGAACUUAAAUAUCAUACUCGACAGUCGUAAAUACAACCUCCCCAAAAUACGACUUAAAUCCUACGGCCGGAUUCUACAUUAAUUAACCGCCAAAAAUACCAAACUUCGGAAAUUCACAAACCUAUCCAAAUCUCAUCCAAAAAUUCCAUAAAUCACAUCAAUAUAAUCCCCUUCAUAUUCCACAUUUAAAACCCUAAAAUCUCCCAAACCGCGGCGGCGGCUCCGCGGGCAGCGGCGGCCGGAGACCAAUUCCGGCGACCUCCGAUUCCUAUGAAAUUUUGACAGAAUAAUCCUCUCAUCAUGCUCCACAACUCUCUUAACUAGCACAAACACCAAUUUCAAGCCUAACUAGGGUAAUCGACUAAAAACAUCCUAAAAGCCCUAGAAAUUUCAACUCCACAUUUCUCCUUACCUAGCUCAAGAGAGGGUGAGUCCUUUUAGGGCAAGGCUGCUGGGUUGGAGGGCUACAAAACCGUACCAAGCUUACCCGGAUUGGUGGCCGGAGAAGGAAGUUCCGGCGAAAAGCUUCCCAGUGUCUCCAGCGAGUUUUCUCUUCUUCCGGCGGGCUAACGGCUCGGGGGCUAGGCCGAGGAGGGACAGGAGGAGAUGGGGGUCCGAACUGGGGUGGAGCGGCGGCCGGUGNNNNNNNNNNNNNNNNNNNNNGGGGGGGGGGAGGGGAAAACGGGAGAGAAGAGAGGGAAACGGGUUGGGCCUCUCCAACCGGUCCAACUCCCCAUUAUACCCAACUCUCACAAAAAAUAAAACACCCCAAAAAAUAAUACCCGAAUAAAAAUUACCUUUUACUAGCUAAGAUUUACCAUUUUUACCGUCGUCAUAUUUUCUCCCACGAAUAAUUCCCCGAAAUUAAUCGUCCUUUAAAAUACCUCUAGGGACCAAAUAAAAUAUUACCUCAAUGACGGGGACGGUAAAAUUCUUAUUAUAAUCAAGCUAGUAAAUAAGGUAAAAAUAUAAGGGUCGGGAAAUAUGAUGUUGAAAUGGUUGCAGGUGACAAGAACUAUUUGCCUAACGCUCUUACAAGAGAAAUGGCGAUGUUUGAAAGAGAAGGUCGCAAUCCAAGAAGCCGGAAACUGGUAUCAGAAGAAAAGAGUCUAUGGGAAGGAUACAAAAGCGGUGAUAAAACCGUAGGACCUCUCCAUGAUGGACCAGGUUAUCAAUACAUUGUUUCUUAUAGAGCUGCUGAGUCAAGCCAAUCUUCUGAAAGAAUCAAGCCAAGACCAGAUCAUGGAUGGGAUGAACAUUCAAACCACUCUAGAACCACCCUAAAAGAUGAAGAUCAAUCUAGUGCUUCCAAUGAAGAAAAACUCGUAAAUGAGUUCUUGCUGUGUCCGAAAGGAACAACCUCAACUGACCGGUCUGAGAGUAAAAGACCGGCUAGCCCGUCUCAAAAGGCAGACGACAAAGGCAUGUCAAGUCCGUUUAUGGCUGCUGCUUUGUCAAAAUACAGAAGAGCCCCUUUUAGGGCAACUAAACUACCCGCAGUUACUAGGAAGAAAGUUAUUCAUGAUCAAUCUUUAAAGAUCUUUCAAAAACCAGUAUUCAGUACAGAAAGACUAUUGGCCUUUAAGCAGAAGAUUAUUAUAGAUAAUAUUCUGAAUGCAUUUUACGAGGAGAAUGAAGCUCACAUGCUUCAAACACUUAAAGCUUUAAUAGAAGAAUUGUAUGGAUUCCAUACAAAGGACAAAAGUGUACAAGCAGAAAAUCCUGCAGGAAAUUCUAAGGCCUUAUACCUUGAAAAUCCUGAAAGUGCUAAAAUCCCAAUGUUAGCACUAAAAGAAUCUGAAUGGUAUAGCUUUCAUAAUCUCUUAGGAGAAAGAAAAGAUGUUCUUCCAAGAACAUUAUCAGCAGUUCCUGGCCCAUAUUACGGGAGAUAUUUGGUAGAUGUUCAAGCAAAGCAUCCCCAAAAACACAAGUUGUGGCUUGUGGAAAACGGUUUUGUUCAUAACCUUUAGACAAAAACUAAUGAAGAUUUGAAAGGAUUCCCAUAUAUAAUAUAUGAAGCUGUCAAGAACAUUAGACCUAAUGGAU
rnacentral:lncRNA from 1 species